rnacentral:lncRNA from 1 species
CCUUGGCGUUCUCGCUACAGUGUUGCCAUAAAAAAAUUGUGUGAGGAAGGGUGAAGCCGAUAGCCACGAACACCGAUCCUUCUCAACCGAGAAGGAACCUCUGCGUCUUGGUCAGCGACCAUUGUUGCCCCUUCUCCACCACCGUCGCUGCUGCGCAACCAACAGCCACCACCAUCACUGCUGCCCCCUUGCUGUAGUUAUCUUCAUCUUAGGAAAGAAAAAAAAGAAAAAAAAAAAGAAAGGAAGAAAGAAAGAAAGAAGAGAAAGAAGAGAGAGAAGAAAAGAAGCCGUAGCCAUGCACCCCUGCUUCCCUUGCUUGUGGCUAGCACACCGUCGGCCGUCGCUAUUCUUCGGCCAGCGACCGACCCUGCCCCGCUUCCGGCCAGAGUCCACCGUGGUCGUCGCCUCCCACUCGAGUCACCACCGUUGCCAGGAGACGACGUUGUCAGCGUCCCACUCCGCCGAAGCCCUGCUCCUUUUCUCUACCGCCGCUGCAGGGCAACUCCUUCUCCACUACCGCCGCUGCUUCCCGGUCGAUCGAUCACUGCCGGUCGCCUCCCAACCGCAACCCUAGCC